GACGAACGCUGGCGGCGUGCUUAACACAUGCAAGUCACGGGGGCCCGCAAGGGCAACCGGCGAACGGGUGCGUAACACGUGAGCAACCUGCCGAUCUGAGGGGGAUAGCCGGCCCAACGGCCGGGUAAUACCGCAUACGUUCUCGAGGGGGAGUCCUCUUGAGAAGAAACCUCCGGGGCAGAUCGAGGGGCUCGCGGCCUAUCAGCUAGUUGGCGGUGUAAUGGACCACCAAGGCGACGACGGGAGCUGGUCUGAGAGCACGACCAGUCACACGGGCACUGAGACACGGGCCCGACUCCUACGGGAGGCAGCAGUAAGGAAUAUUGGUCAAUGGACGCAAGUCUGAACCAGCCAUGCCGCGUGAA
rnacentral:rRNA from 1 species